AGGUAAAAUUUAGGCAAGACACCCCUGGUGAAUAGAAUAAUAAUAAUUAUAAUAAUAACCACCAUACUUCCCUGGUUAAUUAAUUACAGUACAUUAAGAAAUACAAACUGUAACAUUUGGUGUAUGGAAGUGCUGAUAAUGUGAAUUUAUUUUUUUUAUUUUUUUUUUUUGAGAAAACUGUGUUUAAAGAUUUGCAACUGAAGGCUACAAACACAAAUAAAUAGAGCAAUUAAAUAAACAUUUAAAAGUGCUUUUUCUGUCCACUAGUCUAAAACAACAUGUGAAAGGUAAAGUAGGCCAAAAUCUCAAAAUUGACCAGUGCAUGAAAAAAAAUAAAAAUAAAAUAAACAAUGCCUACUGUGUUUUGUCAUGAACAUUAAGGCCAUUUGUUUGACAUUUGAGUGGACAUUUGUAUAGUAAAUGUUGAACCCAGAACAUUCCUUUAAUGUUCUAUUCACACACACACACACACAGAGUUUGUUUGGCAGGAUUCAUGUGUGUGUGUGAGUCCGGGAACGGAUCCAUGUAUAUAACUCAUCCUACAGCAGCAGGAACCAUUGUGCUCGACUGCGGGUGCCGAGGGAACUCUGAGUCUGUGACACCUGUUACCAACAGCCGGGCCGGCCGCGCCAACGCGGUGGCCAGAGUUUGCGCCGGCUGGAGAGAACAGCAGAAACAAGCUGUGAAUGAGUCUGGAGAGAGCGGCCGAUGCUGAGCCGCCAUGCUUCGCUCCACGGGCCGCCGCUUUCCAGGUUAUGAGCAUACUUGUGUGCUGUGAGACAGAGCUACUGAGUUCUUUAAUCCAGGGAAUCUCAACCAGUGGGUCUGAUGGGUCACAGACGGCAGUGAAACGCGACAUUGUGUUAAUUUACACAUCCUGUGCAGAUCGUCUCUCGGAGUCUCUCUACAGCCCAAACCGCCCAAAACAUCCCCGUGUCGGUCCAAACAUCAUGUUUCAUCUGAGCGUUUAACGCGACGGAGCGCUGCCGUUUGUGUGUACAGUGAUGGAGGGCGGCGAGCGGGCGGCACUGACUCCAGACCAGUGACACUGUCCCACGCUCACAGCGUCUAUUGAUCUGCUCUGGAUGGACGGCUGGAGACAAACACGCGGCUUACAGCCGGUUUAGAGCUGGUUCUACGCCGCUAAACUGAACAAAUCUAGAAUGAACUCAAGCACAGCUCUAAACUUCACAACUGACUGAAUCUAAUUCCCUUUAUAUCUUCCUUUCGAUGUUUUAGUGUUGUAUCUGAAGUCUGUUUAAAAGCUUACGAAGCCCUGUACACCCUUAUGAGACAGAGAUUUACACCGACAUGUCUUAAAGUCGACAUUUCCUUCCUCCUCUUGUGUUCCUGUGUGUUUAUGGCCAGAAUGCAUGUGUUAGAAACAAAAUUUAGUUUGUUUUACUCAAAUUUAGUUAGUAUUUAGUUUAUUUAAUGAAUAGUAUUCAUUAUUUUAAAUUAGCUUUUCUUUCUGUAUUUUCAGUUUUAGAAAAUGUAUGUCUUUAUUUCAUUUUUGCUUGCUUUAUGUAUGUACUUUCCCCCUCGCCCCAGUACUUUAUUUCAAGUUUGUUUUCCAUCUAAUGUUUUAUUAUAGCUUUAUUUCAAUUAACAAAAAGGUUUCUAGUAGUUUUAGUUAACAAUAAAAACACUGCUGUCUUUAUUUCA
ensembl:lncRNA